GACGAACGCUGGCGGCGUGCUUAACACAUGCAAGUCGAGCGGUAAGGCCUCUUCGGGGGUCCACGAUCGGCUCACGGGUGAGUAACACGUGGGUGACCUGCCCUCAGCUCUGGGAUAAGCCUGGGCAACUGGGUCUAAUACCUGCUAUGACCUUUCCUCGCAUGGGGUUUGGUGGAAAGUUUUUUCGGCUGGGGAUGGGCCCGCGGCCUAUCAGCUUGUUGGUGGGGUGAUGGCCUACCAAGGCGGCGACGGGUAGCCGGCCUGAGAGGGCGACCGGCCACACUGGGACGGAGGCACGGCACAGACACGUACGGGAGGAAGCAGGGGGGAAUAUUGCGGAAUGGGCGGAAGACUGACGAAGCGACGCCGCGUGGGGGAGGACGGCCGUCGGGUUGUAAACCUCUUUCGACCCCGACGAAUUUGGACGGUAGGGGUAGAAGAAGCACCGGCCAACUACGUG
rnacentral:rRNA from 1 species